CAUCAGGGAGCCAUGUCAAAAGGUUACUACGGGCCGACCCCAAUAUUCAGCUUCACCAGAGAAUCCCUUUAACACUAUAAGACAGUUUUGGAUGAAUCAUUUUUGUCACAGGGAUGGAGGAAAAAAACAAAAAUGAAAAGCUGGUCCUUAAGGCUACUUUGACUACUAAUACAAUAUCUUUACACAGACAAUAAGAGGUCAAGUAACGGUAAUAUUUGGCAUUUUUAAUUUAGGUUUUGUUUAUUUAAGUUUAAUGUUAAUUCCAUGCUGUGUUUCAGUAAGAACAAUGACAGAUUCUGUAUCUGUGGCUCCAGUCAGAUAUCCAGUAGUACAAAUUAGCUUCAAGUUACACAUACUGAACAAAAGAGGUUGAGCAAGAGAAAAGGAGGGCAGAAGGGGGGGGGGGGGGGGGGAUAGAAAAACAAAAAAAUUUAACACGCAUGCAGGCUAUUCAACACCAGCUCCAAUGCUAACCUGCUCUGAGGAGGGAAAGUAAAAAGGAGGCAAGAAUGAAUAAACACGGAUUGUUGACGUGAUACCAGCACCAGAGUUUUCAGCGACAUUUUUGCACAGUUUUGAAAACACUUUUACAGCAAAAACCACUACAAGGACAUUCUGAAGCAAUCUGCGACAUCAAGCUCUAACCACAUUUUAAACAACAGAAUGAAGUUCAGUUUCAAACAUUUAGAAAAUAAAAAAA